rnacentral:misc_RNA from 1 species
GAUGAAGAACGUAGCGAAAUGCGAUAAGUAGUGUGAAUUGCAGAAUUCAGUGAAUCAUCGAAUCUUUGAACGCACAUUGCGCCCUUUGGUAUUCCAAAGGGCAUGCCUGUUCGAGCGUCAUUUGUACCCUCAAGCUUUGCUUGGUGUUGGGCGUCUUGUCUCUAGCUUUGCUGGAGACUCGCCUUAAAGUAAUUGGCAGCCGGCCUACUGGUUUCGGAGCGCAGCACAAGUCGCACUCUCUAUCAGCAAAGGUCUAGCAUCCAUUAAGCCUUUUUUUCAACUUUUGACCUCGGAUCAGGUAGGGAUACCCGCUGAACUUAAGCAUAUCAAUAAGCAGAGGA